AAAUACAAUAAAACAUAAACCAAGCCCCAAACAAAGCUAACACUUAAAUACGACCCUCCAAAUCAUAGAAGAAGGAAGAAAAUUAAAGCUGGCAACAAUUUUAGUGGAGACAUCAGUUGUUGGUAAAGGCAGAUAGGGAUAUAUCUAUAUAGCUAUAUAUAUCUUUAUAUUUUAUAUGUAUGUGUUCAUAUAGAGAUAGAUGGAUU
rnacentral:lncRNA from 1 species